UACUUGAAUCCCCAGGACUACAUUGAAU
rnacentral:piRNA from 2 species